UACGUAGGGUGCAAGCGUUAAUCGGAAUUACUAGGCGUAAAGCGUGCGCAGGCGGUUUUGUAAGUCAGAUGUGAAAUCCCCGGGCUUAACCUGGGAACUGCGUUUGAAACUACAAGGCUAGAGUGUGGCAGAGGGGGGUGGAAUUCCACGUGUAGCAGUGAAAUGCGUAGAUAUCGGGAGGAACACCAGUGGCGAAGGCGACUACCUGGCCUGUUCUUGACGCUGAGGCGCGAAAGCUAGGGGAGCAAACGGG
rnacentral:rRNA from 1 species